CAGCCGCCGCGGGAACACAGAGGGUGCAAGCGUUAAUCGGAAUUACUGGGCGUAAAGCGCGCGUAGGUGGUUUGUUAAGUUGGAUGUGAAAUCCCCGGGCUCAACCUGGGAACUGCAUCCAAAACUGGCAAGCUAGAGUAUGGUAGAGGGUGGUGGAAUUUCCUGUGUAGCGGUGAAAUGCGUAGAUAUAGGAAGGAACACCAGUGGCGAAGGCGACCACCUGGACUGAUACUGACACUGAGGUGCGAAAGCGUGGGGAGCAAACAGGAUUAGAUACCCGGGUAGUCCCUGUCUCUUAUAA
rnacentral:rRNA from 1 species